CCCACCAUAAAAGGUUCUUCACUAUAUGGAAGCCACCUGCAGAGGGUCAUUGCUAUAUGGCAGCCACCAAAAGAGGGUCAUCGCUGUAUGGUAGCCACCAGCAAAGGGUCAUCGCUGUAUGGUAGCCACAAGCAGAGGGUCAUCGCUAUAUGGCAGCCAACACAAGAGGGUCAUCGCUAUAUGGCAGCCACCAGCAAAGGCUCAUCGCUAUAUGGCAGCCAUCACAGUGGCGAGCAGCCUAUGGUGAAGGAGAGAGACAGCUGCAGCAGCGCCUCCACCAAUUACAUUCUCCCCUGCCCGGGAAUCGGAUCAUCAUCUGCCAGAAGCUGCUGCACCGAGGAGCCUGACUGCCAGCGGAGACAGUGGCGCCAUACGCACACAGCAUUUCAGUCGGCUGGAGGAGUGCAACAUGCAGACACUUGCUGAAUUACAACAGAUGCUCCUGCAUGCUAAGAACGAAUAAUGAAAGGCUAAAUGAAGGCAGUAGGGCAGGGUGCCCCCGGAUCGCCGGGACAAUCAACCGAAGACCAAGACAUCUGCAGAGACCACAGAACUACACUUACUAGACAUGUGGCUGUUACUUGAAACACGGACAAGAGGGCACAGUGACCCGCAUUCUGUACUGAAAUCAUGACCACCUCAGGGUUAUCUUCAUGUCUGAAUUACUCUAGUAAAUAGGGAAAUAGUCUGGGGGUGGAGAACAGAUCUCACAUCUUGUCUCCUCAAGCAGAAAUUAUGUCAGAGAAAGGCAAUCCACAUCUCUAUUUCCAUUCACUGUCCCAGGAUGAACACAUUUAUGCCAGGGCAAGAAGCAGAAUUAGGGGCAUUUCAACAGAGGAGCGGGCCCGUGUGCACCUCCAGGUGGGCCCCCUCCUCUGCACAGCGCAAUAGUAUCCGGCAUUUGCCGGAGUCUACUGCGCAUGUCUCUGGAAACAUGGUGCCCGACAUGUUACGGAGACCAAUUUAACUACUGCAUAUGCACGGUGGCCAUUUUGGCUGUGAUUUUCACUGCAAUUGCAGUGCCCGACGCUGGACUCCAGAAAGGUAAGUAUUAAAUAUGGGUGCAGUGUGUGUGGUGUGGGCUCCCCUGGAACCAGGGGCUCGUGUUCACCGCACACACUGCACCCAUUAUAGAAACGCCAAUAAGCAGAAUAUAAACAGAAGAGGCUGGAUAGAAUUUUAAUAGAAAUCAGAAUAAAUAGGUCAGGUGCCGAAUAAUAAUAUUUUAUUUCCCAUUUAUUUAUCAUAUUAUAGUGAGAAAAAAGUGGAAACGCCAACACAAAUUCAGUUAGUAGGACACUGGGCCACCAUCUGCAAGGCCGCCAUCCCCAAUGGCAAACUUGUAGGACUGACUGGAGACACACCAGAUCAAGGGGGAGAUGCAUCAAGCCUUAGUAAGAGAUAAAGUAGAGAAGUUGCACAAAUCAAGCAAUCGGCUUCUCCCAGCCAGUCAGCGCUUCCCCAUUCAUUUCUAUGGAGUGACCAGGAGUGACCUUUCACUGUGACAGGACCCUGCAAAUUUACAGUUCAACUGGUUCUUUGUUCUGCAAAGAUCUCUGGAGGUCUACAUGGACCUGCUUCAUUGCUUUUGUGAGUAUUAAAGUGGAGAAGUAGGGCUGUGUGCAGGGACCGACUGGGGGUCAGAAAAGGCCCUGGCAUUUUAGCACUUGUGCACAUGACAAGGGGCGUGGUCAGGGAUGGACUAGGGCCACAAAUCGGCCCAGGCAUUCACUUCGGCGAGCACACUCGGCACAUGGUUUAAAUUUGUUCAUGAUUGCCACUUUAAAAAAAAUCCCGCACAGCUGCCGAAUGCGGACUUCAUUACAUCCCGGCCACUGUGUCUAAACACCCAGUAGCGAUACAAUUACCAUCCAUCUCGGAAUCAUGCCCUUUGCUAGGAAUGCCGUAUAAACGUAAGCAUCCCUUUGUGCAUUUGCGCCUCCUGGCUAAGCGACAAGUCCAAAGGUGCUUUUGCGUUGUGGAACUCACAGUUUGUAAAUACUCUCCACUGUGCGUAACAGGUGCAUUAAAAAAACAAAACACUGAAAACUUGAAAGAAAAUUCUCAAAUUGACAUGCUGCCUCUUUUCUAACGCUUCAUCCUCUGGGAUUGCCGACUUCGGCACGCAAUGAGCCAGAACGGCUGAUAAAAUUCUAAGAGCAUUUUAUGAGCAGAAUUUGUAUUCCAUAGAAUUUGAACCUGCUGGCCUGGAACACACAGAUGUUCUGAAACUAUCUCCCAGCUCUCGUUGCCACUUGCCAAAGAGCUCUGAUGUCACCAGUUGUAGUGAGUGCAGCUCUGUCUGUUCAGACAUGGUGUCCUUGGGACAGGCUGACGUCUGUUCCUCACACAGCGUGUGCAACUCCAGGGUAAGACAGCCUGUGUUAGCUUCUGGCAGCAAUAUAUGCUGUUGUGUAACGUAUAUAUAUUUCAUCUAUAUGCUUUUAGGCUUUCAAUUUUUUUUCUUUCUUGCAAAAAUUGCUUGGUCUAAUUAGGCCUAGGAUUUGUGUCGGUACACUAAAGCAGACGUUUGCAACCUAUAAGUCAGGAUCCUGAAAGGCAAACUUAUCAAAGGGCGUUAGAGUUUAUUUUAACUUUGUUCCAUACAUGAAAGGGUGUUUACUCCGGCAAUGAUAAUAGAAAUGGCGUGGUUCAUUGGGUCGACCAUGACUAGGUCAACAGUCAUUAGGUCGACAACUAUUGGUCGACAGUGACUAGAUCGACACGGUCAUCAGGUCGACAUGAGUUUAAAAAAAUAAAUAAAAAAUUGGUGUUGUUUUCUUCAUAAAGUGACCGGGAACACACUCGGAUCAUAAAGUAUAAAUAAGUUUAAAAAAAAAAAAAGUGAAAAACUCAUGUCGACCUUUUCAUGUGUCGACCUUUGCCAUGUUUACCUAAAGCAUGUCGACCUAAAGACUGGAUACCACUAGAAACUACUGCCACAAAAAAUUCUCCAGCUUAAAUUUUACAUGGGCAAACCCAUUUAACGAGUAUCCCAGCGGUACUUGUAGAGCCGUAAUACCUUUGAAAUCAUUGAAGUUUUAUUAUUUGAUGAAAACAUUUUUUUUAUGAAUAAAGGUUUCUUUAAUUUUUCUUUGAUUUUUCUAAUUACAUUUUAUAUAUUUUUAAGCUUUUUUUCCCCCCACAUUAGUGAAAAUGAAAAAAGAAAUCUUCUAGCUACACUGUGAAUGCGCAAAUCAUAAUCACACUCAUGUGCAAUGAUUUGGGAGCACAUUUAUUAACAUUAUUUUUACAAAAAUAAUGUGAAAAAUUGUGUUUUCACACCCUUUUUACAUUAUUUUAGUAGCACUCAAUGUAUUAAAGGUCUUUUGGAACAGUUUUCGUGAAAAACUGCUCCAAACCCUUUAAUUGUAAUUUUUUUAGUAACCAACAUCGCAUUCCCCAUAUUUAUAAUGGGAAAUGCAAUCUGGCCGAAUUUACUAAAAAAAAUUAGUUAAAAAACACUGCAGUGUGCCCUGUGAUAAUAACGCCAGCUUCAGCUGGUGAAAUCACAGGGCAGCAAUGUGAUAUGCAGCCUUUUGCCCAGCUUUCUCUUCCCCCGGGACCUGGCCAGUGCGAUCAGCUCUGGGUGUCCGAUGGACACACAAGCUGAUGCCCUUUAAAAAAAACAAAAAAAACCCAUACCUGUCCCAGGAGCUGGUGAUCGGUGCUCCGGCAAACACUGCUGGGCAGCAGGUCCUCCAUUUGCUGCACAUGCUACAAAGCAGCAACUCACUUUACAGCACCGGGGGUCACAAACAGCAGCAGGAUCCGGCGCCCGGCAGCCUCCUGGAGCAGCGGACACCGGUUCCAGGGACGCUGGUGGUAGCAACGGUGGUGGCGCAUGCGCAGCAGGACAUCAGGGUGAGCCCCCCCUGGACCCAGGGGACCUUGUGUGCACCACACACACUGCACCCAUUAAGAAAAUAAAGCAAUUGCGGGGCCACUUUUCUCCACAGAGGGGGCGCCAUUUCAACAUAGGAGGUGGGGGUGGGGGCAGGAAGCGUGUCUCUCCUCUCCUGCCACCGCUAUCUUCCCAGUGAUAUUUGGGAAGAUGAUGCUGGCCCAUAGAGAGCAAAUACUCUGGCAAAGCACAGCUAUACACUGGGAGGUAGGUGGGUAGCGACCUGGGCCCCGCUGGGCUCCUCCAGCAGCUCUGGCCCAUGUAAUUAGUAACUGCCCCCCUACCACCAUCUCGGCGCCACUGCAGAAGUCCAUCACCCCUGGUAGAAGUCUGGAGAUAAUGGUGACAUUAGCAUUAUCAGUAUGGCAACCAGAGGUCCGUAGGGGCACACAGCAAUUAAGAAACUCAUUUUGAGGUAAAAUACCCCCCCCCCCAAAAUGGCAGCCAAAGCAGAAUAUAAAGUCAUCUUAGUUGCUAUUAGUUUAGUGUUACACAUCGCAGGGAAAGGCUCCUAUCGGAUAAGAAAUUAUAAUUAUCAGGUAUAACAGCUGAUUAUUAUUAAAUAGGCUCCUGGAUAGUGUAAGGGAUGAACAGGGGGGGGGGGGGGACGCUUUCACCAAGACAGUCUGACAAUGGAGCAUUGAUACCUAGAAUGCUGGGACCCUGCAGUGAUAGAGGACUACUGCUGGUUCCUUUCUAGGUAGACCAAUGAGAUCCUGUACAAAUGGAAAGCGUCAACAUCCUAUUUCCCUACAGCAAAGGGACUUUACAUUUUAUUUUUUAUUUUUUUUAAAACAUAUUUUAAUUGGAUUUUCAUAUAGGAAAACAUCAAUGGUAAUCAUUACAGAGAAGAAGAGAGGAGAUUAAAGUCAGUAAUAAGGCAGCAUGAUGUAACGCGUACAAUUACCAUCAAAGCGUGAUCAGGCAUCUGACGAAUAGCAAUAUCAUCAAGUAGUAAAAGACAGAUUGUAAUUGUUAUAUUCAAGCGUCUC